GAGGGUACAGCUCAAAGUAGUAGAGUGCAUGCUUAGCAUGCAGGAGGUCCUGGGUUCAAUCCCCAGUACUUCCU
rnacentral:tRNA from 1 species